AAAUCAUGGGGCAAAUCAAAUAUGUCAAGUACUCACUAGGAGCACAAGGUUGAAUUCUAUUAUAACAAAAAUAUGGAAUAAAACAGGAAAGCAAAAUUCAAAAUUCAAAACACAAGGCACUUCCAUUAAAGUGUUUCAUGAAAUUCUAAAUUCUCCUCAAAAUUCUAAACAGGAAAACUAAUUUAGAUGAUCCCGAUUUUGUUGGCCACAUCCAAAGCGUCAUAGUCUGGAGUCAACCUCACAUAUGCCUUCUUAGUUCCAUCA
rnacentral:misc_RNA from 1 species